UGAUUGAUAAACAUUUGAGUGAGUGGCGGACGGGUGAGUAACACGUGGGUAACCUGCCCUAAAGUGGGGGAUAACAUUUGGAAACAGAUGCUAAUACCGCAUAAAACCUAACACCGCAUGGUGUAGGGUUGAAAGAUGGUUUCGGCUAUCACUUUAGGAUGGACCCGCGGUGCAUUAGUUAGUUGGUGAGGUAAAGGCUCACCAAGACCGUGAUGCAUAGCCGACCUGAGAGGGUAAUCGGCCACACUGGGACUGAGACACGGCCCAGACUCCUACGGGAGGCAGCAGUAGGGAAUCUUCCACAAUGGACGAAAGUCUGAUGGAGCAACGCCGCGUGAGUGAAGAAGGUUUUCGGAUCGUAAAACUCUGUUGUUGGAGAAGAAUGUAUCUGAUAGUAACUGAUCAGGUAGUGACGGUAUCCAACCAGAAAGCCACGGCUAACUACGUGCCAGCAGCCGCGGUAAUACGUAGGUGGCAAGCGUUGUCCGGAUUUAUUGGGCGUAAAGCGAGCGCAGGCGGUUUCUUAAGUCUGAUGUGAAAGCCUUCGGCUCAACCGAAGAAGUGCAUCGGAAACUGGGAAACUUGAGUGCAGAAGAGGACAGUGGAACUCCAUGUGUAGCGGUGAAAUGCGUAGAUAUAUGGAAGAACACCAGUGGCGAAGGCGGCUGUCUGGUCUGUAACUGACGCUGAGGCUCGAAAGCAUGGGUAGCAAACAGGAUUAGAUACCCUGGUAGUCCAUGCCGUAAACGAUGAGUGCUAGGUGUUGGAGGGUUUCCGCCCUUCAGUGCCGCAGCUAACGCAUUAAGCACUCCGCCUGGGGAGUACGACCGCAAGGUUGAAACUCAAAGGAAUUGACGGGGGCCCGCACAAGCGGUGGAGCAUGUGGUUUAAUUCGAAGCAACGCGAAGAACCUUACCAGGUCUUGACAUCCUUUGACCACUCUAGAGAUAGAGCUUUCCCUUCGGGGACAAAGUGACAGGUGGUGCAUGGUUGUCGUCAGCUCGUGUCGUGAGAUGUUGGGUUAAGUCCCGCAACGAGCGCAACCCUUAUUACUAGUUGCCAGCAUUAAGUUGGGCACUCUAGUGAGACUGCCGGUGACAAACCGGAGGAAGGUGGGGACGACGUCAAAUCAUCAUGCCCCUUAUGACCUGGGCUACACACGUGCUACAAUGGAUGGUACAACGAGUUGCGAGACCGCGAGGUUUAGCUAAUCUCUUAAAACCAUUCUCAGUUCGGAUUGUAGGCUGCAACUCGCCUACAUGAAGCCGGAAUCGCUAGUAAUCGCGGAUCAGCAUGCCGCGGUGAAUACGUUCCCGGGCCUUGUACACACCGCCCGUCACACCAUGAGAGUUUGUAACACCCAAAGCCGGUG
rnacentral:rRNA from 2 species